UCCCACGCAUGCCAGGUGAGCACGUUACCGCUUGAGCCACAUCCCCAGCCCUCCACUAUUCUCAUUUUUAAGGGAUCUUUUCUUGAAAAAGUUCUGGAAUUGCUGCCAGCCUAGGAUGCCCCCCCAAAGUCUUUUAUUUGUGAGUGGGUUGGGCAUCAUGGGGCUGUGUCUGCACUUCCUAUGGAGUCCUUCUUUCUUAGGCAACUGUCCUCCUUUCCUUUUGGGAGGUGGACUGUUGCUCAGUGUGAGAACUUGAAUAUUCAUGUGUGCUGUGUAGAUUAUCACUAGAAGAAGGAUGGAGUCUUCCUGCCAUAGAAAUUACUGAAUCACAAAGGACUAAACAGCUUAGAAACUGUGAAGACUCCUAAGAGAAUAGAAAGGGUUGGCCUCGCUUUUAAUCAGGUUUCAAUGCAGAGACAGGUGUCCUGUCAAUUCCCUUAUUCAGAGACACAUUUGUUGUGGCAUUAACAAACAAAGUCAGCAUUCCCCAGAGGCCAACAAAAGCCUGAUCCAAUGUGAGUUUGUGCCUUUCUGUAAAGAUUUGCGGUGGGAUUCCAGGCACUUUAGAUAAUGGCCUUCCACUGGCUGCAGAUACCAUGGCUAUUCCAGGGGGCCAGAUCCAGUGGUUAUGUUGUUUAUCACUUUUUAUGCAAAUUCACUAACAUUCUCAAACAAAGGCAAGUCCUCUUGUCAUUCCUGGCCAGUAGCACAGCUGAACAAGGGCUUGGGAAGAGGAAAGCACAUCUCUGAACUUGCCUCUGAUUUGAAAUUUUCUUGCUGACUUUCCUGAGAUUUUUGAGACAACCACAUACUUUCUCAAAGUCAUCUAGCAAAAUCUUGUUAGCUUAGAUCCUAGAUUUUACACCCAAGAUUUGAUAUAUAGGAAAAAUGGCUGCUGUUUCUUUUGAGAAAUGGUAAUUUAUAUAGCUCUGAAUAGCAACAUUCAUUCUUCAUAGACUACUUAGUAUCUGGGAGGAAGUUUACACACAUCAUCUUCAACCUUAGGAAAAUCUUGGGCCUAGAUAUUAACCCAUGUUGAUUGGGCCACUGAGGCUAAGGGAAUUGGUAAUUGGCUCAUUUUCCUGUUGCUUCCUAGGAAGUGCCUAGACCCCAAAUUUCUUACCCCCACUUUCCUGCAAAACAUACUUUUUAUUUGGUUCCAUUAUGGUGAAUUAAAACAUCAUGGGCUUUGAGCCAGACAAGCAUGAUUCAACUCUCAUUUCCAUUAAUCACUAGAUGAGUGUCUGGGCAAGUCAUGUAACCUCCCUGAACCUCCGUUUCCUCAGCUGUUAUCAUGAUAAUGAUGCUCUGAGAAGUGUUUUGGGAAUGGAAUGAGCUGAACACUUCAAAGUCCCCAGUUAGGUACUGGCAUACUGUAUAGCAGUCAGAAUCUCAACAAAUGAUACUUCCCCUUUCUUCCUCAUUCUUCUUUGUACUUGCUGUGGCAUCUGGCACAGAGUAGGCACUCAAGAAAUAUCCAUGAAAUAAAUUCAAAGGAUUCUCCAUGGCCUUGUUUCAGAAGGACAGCCUGAAGUUGGACCCUCUUCAAAACCUCCCUGGAAGAACAAAAGUUUUGAAGCAUGUCAAAGCUACUCAUGGUUACAAUCUUUAGGAUGAAGCAGAGAGACAAGAAUAAUGCUAAAAAUUAACAAUAGCACUAAAAUUCUGAAGUAAGAUUCACUAGGUGGAGUGCUGUUGCUCUUCAAGAAGCAGCAGUAGUUGAGGAUUGUCAAGUAUCCUAAAGCACAAGAGAUAACAAAUGUGACAAGAACACCUCCUACGUUUGGUGGAUUGUUCAACAAUGACUGGAUUGGUUAGAGACAGUGCACUUUUUGGACUUUCCCUUGAACUCACACAUGAGUCUGUGCACAUUAGAGGACAAUUACAACAAUGGUCAUCCCACCACAUCCAGAAUUGCCCCUGCUUAUCCUUGAAAGAUGUUGAACAUAUCCAGGGAGGUGCAGUGUAAUCAUACUAUCCUUGAAAAGCAGAAGACGACAGACCGAAGAACAAGAGAAUACAACAGAAAGAUAGGUCAGAAAGAUUGGAAGAAUGAGAAGGAUUUGAUACAUGGUUGUUGACUUGAAGAUUAAAGGGUCACAUGCUAAGAGUGAGUUUGGAAGAGAAACCCCAAGAUUCAGAUGAGACUAUACACAUGUCAAUUCCUUGAUUUAAGCCUAAUAAAAACUUACACAGAUUGUUUAACAACAUUAUGCCACAAUCUGACCUAUAGUAACUGUGAAAUAAUAAAUAAAUAUUGUUUGAAGCUGCUAA